GUGUGAUGAAAUAAAGAGGAGAAACGGUGAGCUACUUACUUACGUACCUACCUAACCACCUGAAGCUUGGUUUCUCUUCACCUAAUCACCUCUUUCUUGCUUCAUCGUUUUCCUCAAACACCAAGAUCCAUGAGUCACCACCAUCAUCACCACCACGCUCCUCCUCCUCCGCCACCACACCCACACCACCACCACCACCCUCCUCCGCCGCCACACGUACACCACCAUCCUCCGCCGCCACCACCGCACCAUCCCCACGGCUAUCAAGGUUACUUCCAUCCGCCGCCUCCUGCCGUCAUCCACCACCACCGUCACGAACCAGAUGGCUGCUGUUCAUGUUCGAUUCUCUGAUCACCGCAACUCUCCUCCAAGUCUGCAGCUUGUUUGGCUUCUCCAUCUCUGAUCCGUACUGUUGUUGUUGGAGUUGGUUGCUACCGCUUUUUAGCAGACCAAUCAAAUAUAUCAAACUUAUCUUGUAAUCCGAUCCCUCCUAUGUAUGUUAAUAUUAUUAGCGUAUCAUAUCAGAGUACGUACCUACGGCAUUGGAGUAUGUAUGAUAUGCAUAUAUGCAUGUACCCAAUUUAGUAUUUUGAGUUCAUUCAAAUAACAUACACAAUUGUUCACGGAGUGCAUUAUAUUCCUCGGUAAUAAAUCUCCAACUUUCUAAA